GUACAGUGCUGGCAAAAGCAAGGGAGGAGGCAGAAAAGAUCCAUAUGUAGGGGGCACAGGGCAGUGUCAGUAGACAACCACUUUCCCUCUGCAGACCCUCCAUGAGAUCCAAAUCAUCUACCUGAGCAGGAUCUAUUAACCAAAUACCAGCGGUUGGUUUUGUUUGGAAUGAAACAGAAGGAUACAGCAUACUUACAGUUCACAGCUUGUUCUGGCACCUGGGCAGUGCAUGGUACUGUCUGUCCUCGGAGGACCUUUUGGAGAGGGGAGAAUCAAAAAAGCCCAUUCAGCUUAUCUGAAGAAGAUGAGAUGUGAUGUUUUCAAUUAACAACAUGGGAAUAACACUUACACUCGUCACAAUAACUGCUUCCACAGCAGGGAAGAACAGCUGC